rnacentral:rRNA from 1 species
GACGAACGCUGGCGGCGUGCUUAACACAUGCAAGUCGAACGUGAUUUUUGUGGAAAUUCUUUCGGGAAUGGAAAUGAAAUGAAAGUGGCGAACGGGUGAGUAACACGUGAGCAACCUACCUUACACAGGGGGAUAGCCGUUGGAAACGACGAUUAAUACCGCAUGAGACCACAGAAUCGCAUGAUAUAGGGGUCAAAGAUUUAUCGGUGUAAGAAGGGCUCGCGUCUGAUUAGCUAGUUGGAAGGGUAAAGGCCUACCAAGGCGACGAUCAGUAGCCGGUCUGAGAGGAUGAACGGCCACAUUGGAACUGAGACACGGUCCAAACUCCUACGGGAGGCAGCAGUGGGGAAUAUUGCACAAUGGGGGGAACCCUGAUGCAGCGACGCCGCGUGAGCGAAGAAGGUUUUCGAAUCGUAAAGCUCUGUCCUAUGAGAAGAUAAUGACGGUAUCAUAGGAGGAAGCCCCGGCUAAAUAC